rnacentral:misc_RNA from 1 species
UUAUCCCAGAUUGUAUAUAUGAUUAGAACAAAAUCAUACACUUGUAAUAACUAUAUAUACAUCUACAAACUAUGUAAUAUAUAUUCAUAGAGGAUUCAGGUUACCAUUACCUUGAAGUCUUCCAUAUCAACAACACUCCCACGACUCUAUGAUGUGAAUGUCAGAUAUAGCAAACACACAAAGGAGAAAAAAUGAACUCUUGGAUAUGCUCCUUGAGGAAGAACCAGUAAUUCAUUGCCAUUCAUUAUGCUUUCAAUCUCUCCAAUUUAGGAUACAGCCCUGGCCUUGCUAUUUCUUGGUCGUUCUUUAAUCAACUUCCUUGAUAGGUUCUCCACAAUUCUCCCACGAUUAUCGAACAAAAUGAGAUCUUUAGGCAACACAUCAUUUGUAAUGGUGCAAUCACGUGGAAUCUCGAAAAAAGAAAGGGAAAACUGCUUAGAAACAACUCCGACAUCAAAAUAAAUCAACCCAGAACUAGGAAUAUCAACACGGAUCCCUUUAACAGAGAACCAAAGAAAGAGUUCCUCAGCCGCUACACCAGAAAUUUCUGAAAUCUGACCAUAAUUUAGGGUACCCGACACGGUACUAUCAUAACGUAAAUGGGUUUCGAAUUUGGCAGCACAGGACUGCGGAAGAUGUACCUCAAAUCUACCUGAUGAAGGAUCUAUUGAAAAAUUGUUAAUUCCCUUAGGUAGAAGACCAACAGGGAGUCCAUGGGAGUUAAGAACAUCAUAAAUUGAAGAUGAUGAAAAUUUGUUGUUUACAGAAAUGGAGAAAGGUGAAGCUGAUGAUGAAAGAAGGAAGAUUGUGAAGAGAGUGAAUACUGUGAAAUGCAUUGACGCCAUUUUUGAAGAGGAAUUUUGUUAAGGUUAGGGUUUAG